CGGAGUGUGGCGCAGUCUGGUAGCGCACCUCGUUCGGGACGAGGGGGUCGCAGGUUCAAAUCCUGCCACUCCGACCA
rnacentral:tRNA from 2 species